rnacentral:rRNA from 1 species
UACAGAGGUGGCAAGCGUUGUUCGGAAUUACUGGGCGUAAAGGGCGCGUAGGCGGCCCGUCAAGUCCCGUGUGAAAGCCCCCGGCUCAACCGGGGAACGGCGCGGGAAACUAGCAGGCUUGAGUUCGGGAGAGGGAAGCGGAAUUCCUGGUGUAGCGGUGAAAUGCGUAGAUAUCAGGAGGAACACCUGCGGUGUAGACGGCUUACUGGACCAUCACUGACGCUGAGGCACGAAAGCGUGGGUAGCAAACAGG